rnacentral:rRNA from 1 species
CAGCAGCCACGGUAAUACGUAGGUGGCGAGCGUUGUCCGGAAUCAUUGGGCGUAAAGGGAGCGCAGGCGGGCAUGUAAGUCUUUCUUAAAAGUGCGGGGCUCAACCCCGUGAUGGGAAAGAAACUACAUGUCUUGAGUACAGGAGAGGAAAGCGGAAUUCCCAGUGUAGCGGUGAAAUGCGUAGAUAUUGGGAGGAACACCAGUGGCGAAGGCGGCUUUCUGGACUGCAACUGACGCUGAGGCUCGAAAGCCAGGGGAGCGAACGGGAUUAGAUACCCCUGUAGUCCCUGUCUCUUAUACA